rnacentral:rRNA from 1 species
CCCUUAGACGUUCUGGGCCGCACGCGCGCUACACUGACGAAGGCAACGAGCUUUCCUUUACCGAAAGGUACGGGUAAUCUUUUGAAACUUCGUCGUGCUGGGGAUAGAUCCUUGCAAUUUUUGAUCUUAAACGAGGAAUGCCUAGUAAGCGCAAGUCAUCAACUUGCGUUGAUUACGUCCCUGCCCUUUGUACACGCCGCCCGUCGCUACUACCGAUUGAAUGGUUUAGUGAGGCCUUCGGAUCCGCGACUCGUUUGUGGAGAAGUUGGACAAACUCAGUCAUUUAGAGGAAGUAAAAGUCGUAACA